rnacentral:rRNA from 1 species
CCGAUUUCUGACGCUGAGGCGCGAAAGCGUGGGGAGCAAACAGGAUUAGAUACCCUGGUAGUCCACGCCGUAAACGAUGAGUGCUAGGUGUUGGGGGGUACCACCCUCAGUGCCGAAGCUAACGCAUUAAGCACUCCGCCUGGGGAGUACGGUCGCAAGACUGAAACUCAAAGGAAUUGACGGGGGCCCGCACAAGCAGUGGAGCAUGUGGUUUAAUUCGAAGCAACGCGAAGAACCUUACCAGGACUUGACAUCCCGCUGACCAGCCUAGAGAUAGGCUCUCCCUUCGGGGCAGCGGUGACAGGUGGUGCAUGGUUGUCGUCAGCUCGUGUCGUGAGAUGUUGGGUUAAGUCCCGCAACGAGCGCAACCCUUGGAUUGUGUUGCCAUCAUUUAGUUGGGCACUUACAAUCGACUGCCGGUGACAAACCGGAGGAAGGCGGGGAUGACGUCAAAUCAUCAUGCCCCUUAUGUCCUGGGCUACACACGUGCUACAAUGGGCGGUACAAAGGGAUGCGAAGCCGCGAGGUGGAGCCAAUCCCAGAAAGCCGUUCGUAGUUCGGAUUGCAGGCUGCAACUCGCCUGCAUGAAGCCGGAAUUGCUAGUAAUCGCGGAUCAGCAUGCCGCGGUGAAUUCGUUCCCGGGCCUUGUACACACCGCCCGUCACACCAUGGGAGUUGGCAACACCCGAAGUCGGUGAGGUAACUCGCAAGAGAGCCAGCCGCCUAAGGUGGGGUCGAUGACUGGGGUGAAGUCGU